UAGGGAGACCUACCCUUGAUAACUCUGAACCAAUUUGAAAUAGGAGUAUCGAGUGGUCACUCUAGGUCGAACAGGACUUUGAGAUUAGUUUCUAGACUAUGGUUGAGGUUUAUUUCUUGUUUUCAUCUAGAGAUAGAUGAGGGAAGAGAAACUAGACACGGGCUAUUAGCUCAGGUGGUUAGAGCGCACCCCUGAUAAGGGUGAGGUCCCUGGUUCGAGUCCAGGAUGGCCCACUUGUGGGGGUUUAGCUCAGCUGGUAGAGCGCCUGCUUUGCAAGCAGGAUGUCAGCGGUUCGAGUCCGCUAACCUCCACCACGAAAGACAGAGCAGCAUACAAUUUACUUUUGAAUUCAGCACAUUGUGAAUGACUUGAUGAGUCAAGAGCGUUCAUAAUCUGCUGGGUGAAAGCCUAGCGAAGAACCUUGAAAACUGAAUAGAAGAGAAGUGUAAGGUAGUACACACAGAACAUUCAAAGUUCGUUGAGAGAAGAGUGAACUUGAUUAGUUACGACUAAUUGAGUGAAGUCAAGCACACGCUACAGCAAUGUUGACACCCCAG
rnacentral:tRNA from 1 species